rnacentral:tRNA from 1 species
GGACAGGUAGCUCAGUUGGUAGAGCAACGGACUGAAAAUCCGUGUGUCGGGGGUUCGAUCCCCCCCCUGUCCA